rnacentral:sRNA from 1 species
AAAUUUAAAUUUUUUAUCCAAAACAUCUUCUACCGUGAAAUAAAUUAAAAUGGCUAAAAAUCUCAUA